rnacentral:rRNA from 1 species
UACGGAGGGGGCUAGCGUUGUUCGGAAUUACUGGGCGUAAAGCGCACGUAGGCGGCUUUGUAAGUUAGAGGUGAAAGCCCGGAGCUCAACUCCGGAACUGCCUUUAAAACUGCAUCGCUUGAAUCCAGGAGAGGUGAGUGGAAUUCCGAGUGUAGAGGUGAAAUUCGUAGAUACUCGGAAGAACACCAGUGGCGAAGGCGGCUCACUGGACUGGUAUUGACGCUGAGGUGCGAAAGCGUGGGGAGCAAACAGG